UUUUAAUUACAGAUCGCAACUCCAGAAAAAUAGUUUCAAACACAUAAAGUACAUUUACGACAAAACCAAUUUGAAUCUGGAAAGGAAAAAAAUAAUAUUCAAUACUAUAAAGAAAACUAAAGACCUGUUUACACUUUAGUUGUGCUCUUUGAACAGUCCUAAGACAGUACCAUGAAACUGAUUCAAACACAACAUAUAGUAGAAAGAGGAAAACCAGCCAAUGACAAUUGCAUUUUCUCUGAAGGUCCCAAGAAUUCUAAAAUACACAUGCAAAAGGAAAUAUUUUAAUUAAGACCCAAAUCACUGAAAUUAACAUACAAAAUACACAAAAAGUCUAAAUUUAGAACCUAUAAUACCUAAAGAGUUGUAGUUUAGGCUAUAGCCGUUAUGCUUUUAAUAGUACACAAUUCCUCUAACGUUGUACACUAAUAUGUUGGGCUCACAUGCAGAGUAUGGCUAAAUCAUAAAGAUGAUAAAACUAAGCCUGCAUGCUCUAAUUAUUCAAAAUAAAUAUGAGCAAUAAAGAACUCCCAAACUAUGCUUAAGCUUUUGCAAAUUCAUAGAGACAACUAGGCUUCAACAAACACAAUGUAUAUACAGUUUUGAUUGGCCUUACAGUAUAUAGACUGUAAGGAACACAAAUUUAAUUUGAUUUGAAAAUUAUUAGCUAUCAAUAAAAUAUACCGAUUCUAUUAAAUUUCUGCUACUUUCUAUUGAGAAUCGAAAAAAUAUCAAGAUGAAAGAAAGAGAAAAUCAAUAAAGGGAAAACACAGAUUAACAGAAAAAAUAAACUUAAUACCCACAUGCACGAAGAAAGAAAGACAAAAAAGCAAAAUCAAAUAAUUGAUAGACAUGAAUUUGUAUGAAAGAGCAAAACUAAAUUAACUUACAUCCAGUUGAUUGAUAAGAUGAGGAAUUGAAGAAAAGCAGAGAGCUUGAUAUGGAGAAGAAAUGGAAUCGGAGCUUGAUUAACCAAAACCAACAAUGGAAUCCAAUUAAUAAUUUUUUGGUUUAAUUUGGUGGAUGAGGUCUAUUACGACACAAAACUAGCAGAGAGUGACACAAUUUAAUUUGGUUAAAGGAUUUGGUUAGAGUGGGCGACGGUUUCUGAAAAUGAGAGAGGGGUUUGGGAAAAAAGAGAUGGAAAGGAUUGAAGAAUAGGAAAAUAUUGGGGUUAGUGGGUGCUAUUUUUUUAGAGGUUUGCGGAGGUUAUAGACACAUAAUAUAUUUUGAGGUUAAAUAAACCCCCUCAAUUUGAUAUAAAUUACGGAGGUUAUGGUAACUCCUGCAAUAAAAC
rnacentral:lncRNA from 1 species